UACGUAGGGACCGAGCGUUGUCCGGAUUCAUUGGGCGUAAAGGGCUCGUAGGCGGCUGCUCAAGUCGAAUGUGAAAACCCGGAGCUCAACUCCGGGCCUGCAGUCGAUACGGGCGGACUUGAGUGUUGCAGGGGAGACUGGAAUUCCUGGUGUAGCGGUGAAAUGCGCAGAUAUCAGGAGGAACACCGGUGGCGAAGGCGGGUCUCUGGGCAACUACUGACGCUGAGGAGCGAAAGCGUGGGGAGCGAACAGG
rnacentral:rRNA from 1 species